GCCGAAGUGGCGAAACUGGUAGACGCGCCAGACUCAAAAUCUGGUUAGGGAAACCUAGUGUCGGUUCGAUUCCGACCUUCGGCACCA
rnacentral:tRNA from 1 species